rnacentral:tRNA from 1 species
GGUUCCAUAGUGUAGCAGUUAGCAUGUCUGCUUUACACGCAGUAGGUCUUGGGUUCGCGCCCCAGUGGAGCCA